rnacentral:rRNA from 1 species
UACAGAGGUCUCAAGCGUUGUUCGGAAUUACUGGGCGUAAAGGGUGCGCAGGCCGCGCGGGCAGUCAAAUGUGUAAUUCAGGGGCUCAACCCCUGCACUGCGCUUGAUACUUCCGCGCUCGAGCUUUGGAGAGGAGUCUGGAAUUCUCGGUGUAGCAGUGAAAUGCGUGGAUAUCGAGAAGAACACUUAGGGCGAAGGCAAGACUCCGGACAAAUGCUGACGCUCAUGCACGAAGGCUAGGGUAGCGAACGGG